GUAUGAGGGGAGGUACUGGGAGCAGAGGAAGGAACAGAAUCCAAAAGAGUUGUGUGCAGCACAGGAAGGAGCCGGGGCUUUAUCCUGAGAGCACAGAGGACUUCACGAUGUAGAGUUUCCAUGGGAUAGGAUCAAGGUCCAAUUCUGAGAUACAGCCUGCACGAUAGUUCCAGGCAUUGUGCCUCAUGGUGGUGCUUCUAAAACUGCCCAGCAUCAUCACAUUUCCACUUAUUUCCCUUCUCUUUUCUCUCUACAGACUAUUCUAGCACUGAGGCAAACUAAGCAGCCUACCUCUUCCUGUGAACUCGGAAGGAAAAUCAAUGAUAAGACCUCUGAGAUAUUGUAUUGGUUGGUACCAAGUACAUUUAAUUCUUCUAGCUGCUUUUCUAACACCAGUGUCUUAGAGGCAGGCCUACCCCAUCAUCCUGGCUUCCCCACUAGAAGUUCAAACGGCCCACUACUUGUGUCAGAGACUGAGAGGAGAGAGAGAGGCUGGGCUGCCCCAGGACCUGGAAGCAGCUCUCAUGGAGCCAGUCUGCAGCAGCCAACAAGCCAGCCAGAGGGCCAGUGAGCAGAGACUCAGCUCAAGAAGGAAACACCAUAUAAGAAGCCCUCAUUUUGUAUCUGACAAUCACCAAAGACUUUUCUAUUAGAUGGAGUGUGUGCUUAUGCCAUUUAUGUUUUGCUGCAUUAUUUUUCUGCUUGUAGAAGUUCUAGGACAGUCUCC
rnacentral:lncRNA from 1 species